GAACUAGAUGAUCUUAAGGUCCUUCCCAACCUAUUCUAUGAUUCUAUAUUCUAUAGGAUUUUCCACAUGGACGAGGAAAAGCCCUUUAUUAACUGAAACAAGGGAAACCUGUCCAUGUAAAAGCCAUGGUGUGAAGCAACCCAUAACAUUUGAAAGCUGACUUUGGAGGUGCUGCCUUGUAAAUUACUUCAACUUUAACAUCCACAUCAUUGAGAGAAUUGGCUGGAAACUUUAGAGAACCCAAUGCCGUGGCUACUGACAAGCUGUGAAGUUAACAUCCAUUUCCCUCCAUUCCUGGCAGCAAGGAAUUGCUGCCUUGCAACUGCUCUUUUACUUUUGUGUAAGAUACAACUCUUGGCUCCUGCUGCCCUGGGAAUUCAGUGGGAGAUGAAAAUAGUGGGCAGGAGCACCUGCCUCUCCCAGAUGAUUCUCUGCCAGAGAAGAAGCAGCCCUUCCUACUUGAGAAGCUGAUUUUAGUGGUCUGUGGAUCAAACAGCUUCUAGAAUUUCACUAUCACGGAGGUCCAACAUCUUGUUAUGAAGAUGUCACAGCCUAGUACCAAAGCAGGACUUCUUGAAGUUUCAUGAAGGUUUUUGAGUCUUUGAGUCUUGGGUAUGCGCAUGCAUGUGUGUGUGUGUGCAUGCACACAUAAGGGUUCAUGUGUGUGUGUUUGUGUGUUUAUGCCUAUACACUCCUAAAGGGAAAAGGCUAGGGAAUGGGUUUGAGUGCAAGACUUGUGAUCAUCCAGCCUGGUCAUCAAACAGAGCUUUCUGACUCUGUUUGGAACCACUCCACUCCAAGACAAAUCUUCUCAGGAAAGCCCAAGCCAGUUGGUGCCAAAUGACUUUUGGUUUACCUGCAGAGACACAGCUAUUACCUGUGCUAUAACAACAUUAGAUUACUGUGUGCUGAAUUGGCCCGAGGUACAAAUAAAAUAUUGGGUUUCAAGGAAGAAGUCAGGAAGUGUUUUAAAAAUAAGGAUGUGGAAAGAUGACUUUAUGGAAGAGGUCCAGUUUCUUAAACAAAGUCAUAUGGAGCCAUUUGAGAUGCCCUGGGGUACCAAACAUGUCCACUCAGUGCUGCAAAAGACAGCACAAAGCCUAUGGGGGAUUUGCUUCUGGCAUGGAAGCCAGGCACCCACUGGGCUAUCCUGUGGUGCCUACAGUCACAACAGGGCCAUAGGUUCAGGCAACUGUAUCAUACACUUACUCAUUAA